rnacentral:tRNA from 1 species
UCUCUAAUGGCAGAUUAGUGCAUUAGCUUUAAGCGCUAAAUAUAGAAAUUCUUUAGAGAU